rnacentral:tRNA from 1 species
CGGGGCGUAGCGCAGUCCGGCUAGCGCACUUGGUUUGGGUCCAAGGGGUCGCCGGUUCAAAUCCGGCCGCCCCGACCA